rnacentral:rRNA from 1 species
UGAGGAAUAUUGGUCAAUGGGCGCAAGCCUGAACCAGUCAUCCCGCGUGAAGGAAGAAUGCGCUACGCGUUGUAAACUUCUUUUCCAGGGGGAGAAUUUUCCUGUCGAGACAGGGAUUGACGGUACCCUGGGAAUAAGCAUCGGCUAACUCCGUGCCAGCAGCCGCGGUAAUACGGAGGAUGCGAGCGUUAUCCGGAUUUAUUGGGUUUAAAGGGUGCGUAGGCGGAUUGAUAAGUCAGUGGUGAAAUUCUGCAGCUUAACUGUAGACUUGCCGUUGAUACUGUUAGUCUUGAGUGUGGUCAAGGCAGGCGGAAUGUGUAAUGUAGCGGUGAAAUGCUUAGAUAUUACACAGAACACCGAUUGCGAAGGCAGCUUGCUGGGUCACUACUGACGCUGAGGCACGAAAGCGUGGGGAUCAAACAG